rnacentral:RNase_P_RNA from 1 species
CGAGUAGGACAAAUGAUCGCGGCUGUCCGCCGAAAGGCGGCAGGUGAGGAAAGUCCGGGCUUCACAGGGCAGGAUGCCGGAUAACGUCCGGUGGAGGUGACUCCAAGGCCAGUGCAACAGAAAUAAACCGCCACAAGGCUUUGCCUGAGAGAGAGGGAUCUCCCUCUCGUGGUAAGGGUGGAAAGGCAGCUUAAGAGACUACCGCCCCUCUGGUAACAGAGGGGGCACAUGUAAACCCCAUCCGAAGCAAGACCAAAAAGAAAACCAUGCAGCGGCCCGUUGCGUU